rnacentral:lncRNA from 1 species
GGCAGGUCACAUGGAAGUCUCCCAUAAGAUUUCAUUCAUUUAAACAUUUCAAGGCAAGCUGGUUUUGCCUGCACAGCCCAGAUUUGUGUUAACCUCAUGGGUUGGACCUCAUAACCAAGUCAACACAUGGGAAGUAAUCAAUUGUUUAAGUACGAAGCAGAUGAAACACAUCACUGCCCCUUAGCAUUUAAACAUAUGCACAUCACAGAGGCAUCGGAUGGGGGAAGCAGGAGAGGGCUGAGCAAGUCAGAAAGCCAGCCACAGUGGCAGCAGGGAUUUAGAAUGCAUGGCAGGAUGGCUUGGGUUGGCAGGGAGCUGAAAGCCCCUCCAGUCCCAGGGCCUCAUCCAAUGAAUGCGAUACUGGCUACUGCGAGUUUCCUACUCAGUGUGAACUUUAUCACAUUUCAGGUAUUUAAGAUUACCAGCAGUAUCUACCACCUUGCUUUGGUCCUGUGUUCUCUACUUAAUACUGAAGGCAUUAAUUUCAUUUGUUGCUCUAACUUCAGUGCAAACCUGGUACACUUCCAAAUCUCUUCCAGCAUCCUCAGCCAUAGAGCAGUGAGAGCUGUUAGAGCAGGAAUACCUCACAGCAGCUCACCUGCUCCAGCCUUAUGACUGGGAAUGAGGUAUCUUGACAAAAGUCACCUAAAGAGUUGGAUUACUUCACAUGGCCACCCAUUUUUUAUUUGUAGUGGAAUCUCCAUUAUAAAUGUAGAUUUAGCUUUGUUUCUAGCAAACAGCAGCCUAACAAGCUAAGCCUCCUUGUCCUGGUUUCAGCUGGAAUGGAAUUCAUCUCUUCAGUUCUAGGAGAAAAACAACGCUGAUAACACACUGAUGUUUACAGUCACUGCUAAGCAGCAUUAUACAGAGCCAAAGCCCUUCCCAGUGAAGGGCCCAAGGAGCUGGGAGGGAACAGAGCUAGGGCAGCUGACUGAAACCAGCCAAAGGGAUAUUCCAUACCCUGGAACAUCAUGCAGAUGGAAUUCUGAAGGGGUUGGGAGUUUAUCUUGCUCUCUGCCACUGCCCAGCAGGGCCUUGGUUGGCAAGUGGCAGACAAUUGCUUGUGCAUCAUUUGUUAUGUACAUGCACGUAGUUGCCUAUUAUCCUAUAACUAUUAUCCUUUCCUCCAGCUUAGUAUAUAGUUUUAUCUCAAUCCAUGAGUUCUACUUCCUUUUCUUCCUUUUGAUUCUCCCCUUCAUCUCACUGGGAAGCAGGGCAUGAGGGAACGACUGUGGUGCUCAGCCACCUGCUGGGUUAAACCACAACACUCCAUCAAGCAUUUUCAGGACGAAGAAGCAGCAAUGAGUUGUAUACGAUAUAUAAGUAUGAAGAAGAAUCAAACCAUACACAAACCACAAGCAAAAAAGCAGGGAGGGUCCUGUUUACUUGCAUUUAAUCCAUUUUUAGAAGCAACAAGUGAAAUUCAGAGAGUUCAUACUGAGCCCUUGAAACUCUUCUGCAUCAGCUGGCUACCAUACUUAAAGUCAGUCCCUGGAGGCUGGGGAGCAGCAGGCCAGAACUGCUCGACGUAUGUGGUCCCAUCUUACAAGCACGUGCCCCAAACAGGACUGUGGUUACACAGCACUUACCCAUCCAAGCCCUUAAAACACAGGGAAGUUGUGUCCCUUCAGGGACACCUUAAAGCAGAUGUUCUGAUGUUUCGCAUCUAUUCAAUUGAUCUAAAGAUUCAAAUUACAGCCUAUUAAAAACAGUACGUUAUACGUCAGUGGGAAUCCUUAUUUAGUUUCAAAACACAGCAGUAGGUCUGGAGAACAGUUUUUCAAAAACAUCAGUUUAUUUUGGUGGGUCUGUAUUUAUUCCGUAUUUCUCUUUGAGCAGCUUAAGCUGUUCCUCUUUCUUCUUUGUGUCCAUCUUUUGGAAUGCCCUGUUUGCAUUAUAGUACAAAACGACAAGGUAUCUGUUGCACACGUUGAAUCCUGACAGAUGAUCACAAGCAUUUUUGGCAUCAAAGAUGUCUUCAUAGACUACAUAGGCUGUUCCUCUCGUUUCUGGAGUGUUUCCAACUCUGAUUUGCCGAAUAGGUCCGUAUUUCCCAAAAAUAUCAUACAUCUCCUCCGCGGUGAUUUUAUAAGGCAAGUUCCUGAUGUAUAGGAUCCGAUUGACCUCUGGUGGCAGCCGAAUGUUGGCUCGCUUGGCCGCUUGCAUCGCCAUAGCGCCGGGAUAACGAGGGGCCUUGGGCCUGAGAGAGAAACAGCAAUAAACACCAGUCCUCCAACAGCGGUCCUCCGACGCCUCCGCUCCCCUUAGCGGAAGAUCCGAAUGUUAUCCCAAGAUGCACCGCGCACCCCACCGGAAGUGCUGCCGCGCUACCCCGCGUGACUGUGUGCCCCAGCCCCGCCCGCCUCCCUGCCCCCAUUCCCGCCUCCCGAGGGCUGAGGGGAGCGGUGUCGGCCGCCAUUUUGUUCAGGCGGGGCUGACCUCGCGCCUGCUCAGUUGCAGGAGUCGUGCGGUUUGGAAAGCUGUGGGAAAACAGAAAUGAGCCCACAGCUGAGAGUGGAGAUGGAUGUGGGGUGGUUUUCCCGUGUAAAGGUGUCAUACGCAGUAUCUGCAGGGUGAAUUUCUUUAUUUAUUCACAUAUCCUGUAAGGCUUUGCUUUGGCCCUCAUUUUUUGACACGUUCCACAAUAAAUCAUUUCCAGUUUGGAAGCAGAAAUUGCAGAAUCUCUGCUUUUAAGACAUCUGUAGUGCUCCUGCCUGUAGAGCAGCUACAGCAGGGGGCCUUUCUUUAGGGUGUUUUCACUGGCAUUUCAAUGACAAUUUUGCCAAUAUUCUUACUUUCUUCCAUUUUCCUGUGUGCCUCCACAAUCUCGUGCAGAGGGUAAACACUGUCGACAAAUGGCUGGAGAUGUGGGGAGGCUCCUCCAGAGAAAUACGGCAGCACAUUUUCUAUGAAGGCUUUCACCAGCUGCUCCUUAUACUGGCGAAAAAGAAAGCAUUUUGCAGAUCAUUUCUAGUCAUUUACAUUCACUGAACAGUCUCUGAAUACAGCAUACAAAAUGUGCACCGUUCUCAUACAUUUCUCAGGUCGACGCAUGGACAGCAUCUAUCCUAAAGUGCCAGACUGGUGUCUUUUAUAGUUAUAACUGAAUUUUCCACAUUAAGUGAUUUUCAUUUGGUAAUUUCUGGACUUGAAAUGAGUUUGGUCUCUGCUUUGGAGGGUGUGGCUGCAGAUGACCUGAUGGAGGUUCUUCUCCCUCUCUCUCCCCCAGACUUGAUCAAGUCAUCUGAUCACUUGAGUUUUAUUUCUUAGAACAAAUCUUUCAAUUAUGGUAUUCAGUAAGUAUAUUAAAGAGUCCCAGGUGUUCCCAAUGCAUUCCUGUGAUGCAGUAGUUACUGAAAGGAUGCACUUCAUACAGGAAGAAAAGGGAAAGUAACAUAAUUUUGCAAUGUUUUCUAAAGUAUGUAAUAACAAUUCAAGGUUAUUACCUUGAAGGUAAGGUUAAAAACAAUUCUGCUUUAGAGCUGGUAUCAAAAGAAAACUCUCAAAACUGUCACAUAUUUUAAGAUUAAACUGUAUACAGCGUUGAUAGUCA